GGAUGGCUCAGUGGGUUAGAACAUGGUGCUGAUAAUGCCAUGUUUGCAGGUUCGAUCCCCAAAUGGGAGGGAUGCA